rnacentral:rRNA from 1 species
AUUGAACGCUGGCGGCAUGCCUUACACAUGCAAGUCGAACGGCAGCACGGGUGCUUGCACCUGGUGGCGAGUGGCGAACGGGUGAGUAAUACAUCGGAACGUGCCCAGUCGUGGGGGAUAACGUAGCGAAAGUUACGCUAAUACCGCAUACGAUCUGUGGAUGAAAGCGGGGGACCGUAAGGCCUCGCGCGAUUGGAGCGGCCGAUGUUAGAUUAGGUAGUUGGUGGGGUAAAGGCUCACCAAGCCGACGAUCUAUAGCUGGUCUGAGAGGAUGAUCAGCCACACUGGGACUGAGACACGGCCCAGACUCCUACGGGAGGCAGCAGUGGGGAAUUUUGGACAAUGGGCGCAAGCCUGAUCCAGCCAUUCCGCGUGCAGGACGAAGGCCUUCGGGUUGUAAACUGCUUUUGUACAGAACGAAAAGCCUUGGGUUAAUACCCUGAGGUCAUGACGGUACUGUAAGAAUAAGCACCGGCUAACUACGUG